AGUGAACGCUGGCGGUAGGCCUAACACAUGCAAGUCGAACGGCAGCACAGUAAGAGCUUGCUCUUACGGGUGGCGAGUGGCGGACGGGUGAGGAAUAAAUCGGAAUCUACUUUUUCGUGGGGGAUAACGUAGGGAAACUUACGCUAAUACCGCAUAAGACCUACGGGUGAAAGAAGGGGAUCUUCGGACCUUGCGCGAUUGAAUGAGCCGAUGUCGGAUUAGCUAGUUGGCGGGGUAAAGGCCCACCAAGGCGACGAUCCGUAGCUGGUCUGAGAGGAUGAUCAGCCACACUGGAACUGAGACACGGUCCAGACUCCUACGGGAGGCAGCAGUGGGGAAUAUUGGACAAUGGGCGCAAGCCUGAUCCAGCCAUACCGCGUGGGUGAAGAAGGCCUUCGGGUUGUAAAGCCCUUUUGUUGGGAAAGAAAAGCAGCAGGUUAAUACCCCGCUGUUCUGACGGUACCCAAAGAAUAAGCACCGGCUAACUUCGUG
rnacentral:rRNA from 1 species